rnacentral:rRNA from 1 species
ACGGGUGAGUAACACGUGGGUAACCUGCCCAUCAGAAGGGGAUAACACUUGGAAACAGGUGCUAAUACCGUAUAACACUAUUUUCCGCAUGGAAGAAAGUUGAAAGGCGCUUUUGCGCCACUGAUGGAUGGACCCGCGGUGCAUUAGCUAGUUGGUGAGGUAACGGCUCACCAAGGCCACGAUGCAUAGCCGACCUGAGAGGGUGAUCGGCCACACUGGGACUGAGACACGGCCCAGACUCCUACGGGAGGCAGCAGUAGGGAAUCUUCGGCAAUGGACGAAAGUCUGACCGAGCAACGCCGCGUGAGUGAAGAAGGUUUUCGGAUCGUAAAACUCUGUUGUUAGAGAAGAACAAGGAUGAGAGUAAAACGUUCAUCCCUUGACGGUAUCUAACCAGAAAGCCACGGCUAACUACGUGCCAGCAGCCGCGGUAAUACGUAGGUGGCAAGCGUUGUCCGGAUUUAUUGGGCGUAAAGCGAGCGCAGGCGGUUUCUUAAGUCUGAUGUGAAAGCCCCCGGCUCAACCGGGGAGGGUCAUUGGAAACUGGGAGACUUGAGUGCAGAAGAGGAGAGUGGAAUUCCAUGUGUAGCGGUGAAAUGCGUAGAUAUAUGGAGGAACACCAGUGGCGAAGGCGGCUCUCUGGUCUGUAACUGACGCUGAGGCUCGAAAGCGUGGGGAGCGAACAGGAUUAGAUACCCUGGUAGUCCACGCCGUAAA